rnacentral:rRNA from 1 species
AUGGAUUUAACCAAAGCCUUUGACAUAGUUAAGUAGUAUUUUGUAAAGAGGGCUUUACUACGUAAAGGGUUGCAUGGUCAUUUUGUAAAUUUAAUCAUGGAGUGCAUCUCUUCUGCCACCUUUUCUGUUAAAAUUAAUGGUCAACCAUAUGGCAGCUUUAGGGGAUCCCAACGUAUCCGACAAGGUUGUCCUUUAUCGCUGUAUCAUUUUAUUCUCGCAGUUAAUGACUUGUCACUUUCCAUCUAGGAGGCUAUAAAUGCCAAUCAUUUGAGUAGUAUUCAGUUAGGACCUGAUUGUCCCCCUAUUCACUCUCUGAUGUUUGUUGACGAUCUUAUUGUCUGUGGUAGGGCUGAUAAUCAUGAUGCUAAUAUGAUAGCCUCUAUUAUUAAUGAAUUUUGUGCAGUUUCUUGUCCUUUUGAGUAA